CAGACCUGGCAAGUGAAAACCCGGGACACCCCCUUAAACCUGAAUUUCAGAUAAACCGCGAAUACUUUGUGAGUGUAAUUAUAUCCUGCGAAAUAUCUGGGACAUAUUUAUACUAAACAGUACCCGUGGUUUACCUGAAAUUCAGAUGUAACUGCAUCUUCUCUGGCAGCCCCAAACUCACGAUAUCAUAUCGUUGUUGUGGACUCCGCUCAGAAAGCCCACGAAUCAAAAUUCUUUCCAUCCUUCGAGGCCCAUCCCAGAUAACACGUCUUCUGCGAAGCUGUCUCCUCUCCUGGCCCCCAGCACACUGUGCCUGUCACAUAGUCACAGAACAAGCCUUGCUCCUCUCUCAGACAUCAGACUCGUGAGGGCAGACGCUGGUCCUUUUCCCACAGCUCCUCACUGUGGAAUUCAUUCAUUCCACACUAUGCCAACCGCAAAGCAGAUGUGGAUGCUGAUCUCGUGGGUUUUUGUUUCGUAGGAAAGCACGGCAUUAUCCGGGCAGUUAUGAACAGCUGCGUGAAGGGAUGGGACAAAGUGCUGCAGAAGGGCUGCUCUGAGGCUGGGGUCCUGCACGGCUUCUCUGGGGGGUGGUGCUCAGGGGCCAGGAUGAACAGGAGGAACCCACACGACAAGUCAAGAGAAAUUUCCAGAAGACACUGAGGGGAGAGCAAGCCCGGGCCAGCCUGACUGAGGAAGGGACCCACACAAAGCAGAGCCGACUCCAUCCUGCACGGCUGGCUCAAGCGACAGGACGCCACCCGCCCGGCUCAGCCACACUUCUGGAUGUGAGUUGGAUUCUGCUAACUGCAGAGCCUGGAGAGGCGCCCUGAUCCUGCCAGCAGUACCACUGGUCCUCAGGCCAUCCUGGUAACCGGGCGAGGAACGCCUGGAGCAGUGAACCCUGAACAAGAGAGAUCGAGCAAAAGAACCACGACUACAGGGUUACUCAUCAACAGAAUUAGGCAAGCCUCAGGAAGCAGGAACACUGUUCUGGAAAGAAACAAACCUUAGCUGCGUAGUGAAGUGCUGUGAGGUGGGUGGAGGCUGCUCUCACAUCUACGUUGAUGCCAAGCUCAGAGACCAAGAAUUGGACGGCCUCAUUCUGCCCAGUGACUGCUGCCCGGUGGAUGGCCUGGGCCCCCAGGGAGUCCUCAGCAGAAACACAAGCCUAGAGGUUGGGAGAGACAUGAACAAAAGAGCAGCCUGGCUACGUCGAUGUGUCCACACUGGAUGGCGUCCAUGAAGGGUGUGAGGCCACACUUGUCUCUGCAGUCCGGUUCAUACUGGCACCUAGAGCCCAAACACAAAGUAACAGCUGGGAACAGUCACUGCUUCAAACCCAACGGUGCUGACUCCUGACCAGCUGCCUUAUAGAUGAUCCGUGAGAAUCUGGAGUGCUUGCCCUCCUUCCCUACCUCAGUAUCUGUACUGAGCUCUUCGAGAGCAGACCAAGUCAACAGGGACCUCCCUGGUGGCGCAGUGGCUAGGAAUCCACCUGCCAAGGCAGGGGACACGGGUGCGAGCCCUGGUCUGGGAAGAUCCCACCUGCCACGGAGCAACUAAGCCUGUGUGCCACAACUACUGAAGCCCGUGUGCCACAACUACUGAAGCCCAUGCGCCUAGAGCCCAUGCUCCACAACAAGAGAAGCCACCGCAAUGAGAAGCCCACGCAAGAGGGAUAUAUGUAUAUGUAUAGCUGAUUCACUGUGUUAUAAAGCAGAAACUAACACACCAUUGUAAAGCAAUUAUACUCCAAUAAAG